rnacentral:rRNA from 1 species
ACGCUCGACACCUACGGAGGCAGCAGUGAGGAAUAUUGGUCAAUGGGCGCUAGCCUGAACCAGCCAAGUAGCGUGAAGGAUGAAGGCUCUAUGGGUCGUAAACUUCUUUUAUAUAAGAAUAAAGUGCAGUAUGUAUACUGUUUUGUAUGUAUUAUAUGAAUAAGGAUCGGCUAACUCCGUGCCAGCAGCCGCGGUAAUCUGAGCGGGCGUGGCGAAGGC